CCGUGACCUGCACAGAACUCACCUGGGAAUUUUGUUCAAACGCAACCCCUGUCUGAUUCCACCGGCUCAGGACCCAAGACCUCAGCUCAGAGAACUUUCCGGGUGAGCCAAGAAUUGGUGGAACAAGGUUCUUCGGGGCCGGAUAUUGCCCUUGGGGGCCGGACACUCCCCCGGCCGGCGAGUCAUAGUUAAUGCCGUCCUUCUCAAGGCUCUGAGACCUUAAGAGCCUAGUCCAGGAGGUAAGGCGUCUCUAGGAUGAAAGCCCCCUGGGGGAAGGGAGCCGCCCACCCGUUCGCUGCUGUCUGCCUCUUCAGCACCCCGUCACCUUCCCGUGGGCUCUUGCCUUGACUCUGUAUCUUGGCUUUUGUGAAGAGCACUGCAAUAAACAUGGGACUGCGGAUAUGAAAGCCUGGGAAAAGUAGGGAACAGGAGGUUGGGGAGAUACUGGUCAGCCGGUGACAGUUUGAUGGAAGGAGUGAGUUCCGGUGCGUUGUGAGACGGCAGUACAGCAAUGUGUCUGUAAUAAACAAUGUGUACCGUACAUUGUGAAAUAGUGAGAAAACAAGAUUUGACUGUUCCCACAACCUCAAUGAUAGUGUUUAAAGAAAUUAUUAUACUGACUGCUUUGAUCUGAUCACUACAGAAUGUAUCCACAUAUCAAGACGUCUUGCAUUAUACCCAAUAAAUAUGGACUUAUUAUUCAUCAAAUAAAAUAAAAUAUUUUUAA